UGCCAGCAGCCGCCGGUAAUACGGAGGGGGUUAGCGUUGUUCGGAAUUACUGGGCGUAAAGCGCACGUAGGCGGACUGGAAAGUUGGGGGUGAAAUCCCAGGGCUCAACCCUGGAACUGCCUUUGAUACUGGGUGUCUUGAGUUCGAGAGAGGUGAGUGGAAUUCCGAGUGUAGAGGUGAAAUUCGUAGAUAUUCGGAGGAACACCAGUGGCGAAGGCGGCUCACUGGCUCGAUACUGACGCUGAGGUGCGAAAGUGUGGGGAGCAAACAGGAUUAGAUA
rnacentral:rRNA from 1 species